rnacentral:rRNA from 1 species
UACCAGACUCCUACGGGAGGCAGCAGUGGGGGAUAUUGCACAAUGGGGGGAACCCUGAUGCAGUGACGCCGCGUGAAGGAAGAAGUAUCUCGGUAUGUAAACUUCUAUCAGCAGGGAAGAAAAUGACGGUACCUGACUAAGAAGCCCCGGCUAACUACGUGCCAGCAGCCGCGGUAAUACGUAGGGGGCAAGCGUUAUCCGGAUUUACUGGGUGUAAAGGGAGCGUAGACGGUGAAGCAAGUCUGAAGUGAAAGGCGGGGGCUCAACCCCCGGACUGCUUUGGAAACUGUUUGACUGGAGUGCAGGAGAGGUAAGUGGAAUUCCUAGUGUAGCGGUGAAAUGCGUAGAUAUUAGGAGGAACACCAGUGGCGAAGGCGGCUUACUGGACUGUAACUGACGUUGAGGCUCGAAAGCGUGGGGAGCAAACAGGAUUAGAUACCCGCGUA